UGGGCUAACGCAUUAAGUAUUCUGCAUGGGGAGUAAGACCGCAUGUUUGAAACUCAAAAGAAUUGAUGGUAGACCGCACAAGCGGUGGAGCAUGUGGUGUAUUUGGAAGCUAUGCGAAGAACCUUACCAGGUCUUGACAUCUUCUGCCAACCUAAGAGAUUAGGCGUUCCCUUCGGGGACAGAAUGACAGGUGGUGCAUGGUUGUCGUCAGCUCGUGUCGUGAGAUGUUGGGUUAAGUCCCGCAACGAGCGCAACCCUUAUUACUAGUUGCCAGCAUUUAGUUGGGCACUCUAGUGAGACUGCCGGUGACAAACCGGAGGAAGGUGGGGACGACGUCAAAUCAUCAUGCCCCUUAUGACCUGGGCUACACACGUGCUACAAUGGAUGGUACAACGAGUUGCGAAACCGCGAGGUUUAGCUAAUCUCUUAAAACCAUUCUCAGUUCGGACUGUAGGCUGCAACUCGCCUACACGAAGUCGGAAUCGCUAGUAAUCGCGGAUCAGCAUGCCGCGGUGAAUACGUUCCCGGGCCUUGUACACACCGCCCGUCACACCAUGAGAGUUUGUAACACCCAAAGCCGGUGGGGUAACCUUUUAGGAGCUAGCCGUCUAAGGGUGACCGA
rnacentral:rRNA from 1 species